ensembl:snRNA U2 U2 spliceosomal RNA
AUCCCUUCUCAGCCUCUUGAAGGCCAAGUUCAAGUGUAGUGUAUGUUCUUAUCAGUUUAACCACUGGUAGGUUCUCUAUGUGAGAACUGAGUGUAAAAUGGAUUUUUUUGCGACAGGGGCUGGGAAAGGGAGCUUGCUCCCUCCACUCUGCACAUUGGCCUGGUAUCGCAGUACCUCCAGGGGCAGUGCAAAAAAU